AAGUCGUAACAAGGUUUCCGUAGGUGAACCUGCGGAGGGAUCAUUACAGAGUUGCAAAACUCCCAACCAUUGUGAACCUACCUCACCGUUCUCUCGCUUUGAAAACGCCCUUUCUGUAGAACGCGUGUCGGAUUUAUUGAUAUGAAAUACAACUUUCAACAACGGAUCUCUUGGCUUUC
rnacentral:misc_RNA from 1 species